CUACAUAUACCAGCCACUAGAAACUGCUCUGAACCUCUCACUUUCAGCCCAAUGACAGCUCUCUAACUCUGACUUAUAGUUCUAUCAUACAUCAACACAGCGUCAUGCAGAAGUCACUUAUCCAAAGAAGGUGAUUGGCAGAGGUCGUGGUCAGGUCCCCUCCCUGCUGUGCCCUCCCCUGACUGUCCUUAUGUUCUCCUCUGCAUUCUCUCGUCUCUGUGGUUUCAAUGUUCUGGUAGUCAGUGUCCAGGAUGAUGCACCUCCUCCUCCUCCUGCUGCUAAGGGAACACAGCAUAUGGUAUCUCACGUACCUUUCUGAGGCUUGUUUUUCUUCUCUUCAUUUUCUUGUUCUUUUUUCUUUAUCUAGUUUCUUCUUUUUCUUCCUCUCUUCUUCAACUUUUUUCCUUUCUUUCUCUUUUUUUUCUUCCUUUCUUCAACUUUUUCCUUUCUCUUCUUUUUCUUUCUCUCUUUUUUCUUCUUUUUCUUUCUUUUCCUUCCUCUCUUCAACUUGUUUUCUUUUUCUUUCUUUUUCUUCCUCUUCAACUUCUUUCCCUUUUCUUUUUCUUCUUCCUCUUUUCCUUUCUUUUCUUCCUCUACUUCAACUUUUUUCCUUUCUUUUUCUUCUUUUUUCAUUCUUUUCUUCUUCCUCUUCAGACCUGUGCUUGAAUCUAACACACUGACAAACCCAAUCGCUAUGAAUUCCCUGAUAAUAUAACAUGUGGCUGCAAACUAUAGUGACUCUCAAUGACCUCAGUGUUCCAGUGGCAUCAGAUUUUGAGGAAUUGUAGUGCAGUAUAUUUUUCAUUCCAUAACAAACCUAUACCAAAGCCUUUUUACAGAUCUCAGUCAAAGUCAAAUUUUAUGUUAUUAUUUUCUUAAGGCCGAGUUUGAGCCUCUCUCUACUACUAUUACUAUUAUUAUAACUACUACUACUACUACUACUACUACCACCACUACUACUAUUACUACUGUUGCCAAAAAUACUAGUGAUGAGUUUGCCAGGAGAAUCUAAGAAAGAAGUCGUUCUGUAUCACUCAAACCCAGAGGCACUUAAAUAUUUUUAUUAUUACAAGUAUAAAAUAUAUUAGUGGUAUAUUCAAGGUGACAUAAACUUUUAUAUAUAUACUUUCCAUAACCAUAAUAAUAAUUCAUAUAGCUGUUUAUAUAUACAAAUGAUUUCACUAUUCCGCAUGAGUGGUAACUGAGUGGUGGGAACUGAGCGGGUGAGGAGAGGAAACGCCUGCUGAGAGGAGAACAGAUUAUCAAUGACUCUUGACGGGAAGGAAAUAGUGUUGAUGGAGGUAUGAGGGGUUGAGUGUAGAAAGGGCAAACUCACCCAAAGAAAGUACCAUUGAAAGAACUCCAUCUCUAGUCGCAACAGGCUUAUAUUAUGGCGUCUGCUGAUAAGAGAACAGAAUAACAAUGUGACUCUAGAUGGGUAAGAAAUAGUGUUAAUAACAUGGUGUCGAGAGAAGAAAGGUCAAACUCACCACCAACAGAAACGUGAUAUUUGGUAACAACAUAAGGUUUCUCUUCUAUGUAAAGAGUUGGUGAAUUUGUCUUUGUUAGUGAGAAAAGGAGGGGAAAACCGAGAUUGAGCCACUCCAGAUGGGAAAGAAGCCUCGUCAACAGCAGUAUGAGGCGUAGAGAACAGAACGGGCAAACUCGCCUAAAAUAAGUACGAGAGAAAAAACUAUAGGUGUUUGCUGCUGGGGAAAAGAGAUUAACAACAACUGGAUGGGAAUGAAAUAGUGUCAAAAGUAUGAGAUGCUGAGAAAAGAAAGGGCAAACUCACCUAUAUUAAGUACAAUUGAAAAAACUCCAUUUCUACGUAGAUACAGUACCCCCCCAUGCCAGGACCAGGGAAGCCAGAUAACCUCCUCCCCUUUUUAUUUUUACAGUAUGGGAAGCAGCUCAAGGGCAAACAAAAAUCCCACUCAGUCCUGCUCCUUCCUUCUGUGCCUCCUCACUAAUAAAGAGACAAACUCCCCAUCCCUUGACAAGGUAGAAGAAAUUAUCAGGCUUAUGUUGGUACCUAAAAUCACAUAUCUUUUGCUAGUGAGUUUGUGCUUUCUAAUCCGAGCAUCUCUUGUUCUUUACCUCCUCUUCUCACUAACAUAGAGACAAACUCCCCAUCUCUUGACAAGGUAGAAGAAAUUAUCAGGCUUAUAUUGGUACCUAAAACCACAUUAUCUUAAGGUAGUGAGUUUGUGCUUUCUAAUCCAAGCAUCUCUUAUUCUUUACCUCCUCUUCUCACUAAUAAAGAGACAAACUCCCCAUCUCUUGACAAGGUAGAAAAAAUUAUCAGGCUUAUGUUGGUGCCUAAAAUCACAUUAUCUUUUGCUAGUGAGUUUGUGCUUUCUAAUCCGAGCAUCUCUUCUUUACCUCCUCUUCUCACUAACAAAGAAACAAACUCACCAUUUCUUAACAUAGAAGAAAAAAAUGGGUUAUGCUUGUACCUAAAAUCAUGUCUCUAUUGAUAACAAGUUUGACCUUUCUAGUCCGAGCAAGUGUUGUGUGGCCCAAGGCUCAGCAGCGUAAAAACCAGACCCUUUCAAGACACUCCGGCGCACCGAUAACGUUCUUUCCGUAAGGGUGAGAAGAUAUACAUUUGUAGGCAUCAUGAUUAGUUACCGCCAGACCACUUGACCAUGUGCCCUCUGUCCCUUGCCCUCUCUACAUUGAGGAAUGUUACCGUUGUUAUGUUGUCUGUUUUGGGUAAGAGAGAAAGGACAGCAGUGAGGGCAACUGCUCAGCCAGACUACAUCACUUCCGAGAAACAACUUCUGGUAAGGCCUUUUGCUACCUCAUUAACUUCCAAUCAACCUGUUACUGUGACUCCAGCCCGGGCAGCGAGGUAACAGUGUGAUCCUAGCUAUUAUCAACAAAGACCUCACACACGUUACCCAAAACAGACAAUGUAACAGUGGUAACAAGCAUCAACCUCAAGCCCAACCUCUUUUUACAUAGCCACGCUCGUAAACAAACUGCCUGAUUAAUAUUUUUCUAGACUUCGGGAAUUUGGAAAAAAAAUGUCUUUCUCACUCGGUUUAUGAUAUGGGAAGAAAUGUUAACCGUGCAGCAGCGACGGGCCAAAUUUGUGCCAUGAUAUAACCCCCCCAAAAAUACAUGAUACAUAGUCUGAUCACAAAUGCUUCGAUAUAGAGUAUUAUGAAAUGGUUUGUGUGAGGGGUGAUUUUUUCUCAUUUUUCUCGCUUAGAGGGACCAUUAAGAAACAUGAUCCCCGCUGCUACCGGGUUAAGGCAAAUUUUAGUAGAACACUCCCACCUGCAAUGACAAAGAUGACAACUAUAUGAAAAGGUGCAUCAAAUGAAAAAAAAAAAUUAAGUAAAAAAAUAUGGAAAUUGCCGAAAAUGACUAAUGCAAUUUUUUCAUGAAGGUGAUGAUUAGGUGACUGUUCUCAUGGUUUAGGUCAUUAUUUCUGCCUAUAUAUCAUAAGCCGAAUGAGGAAAUGAGUUUUUUUUGCGAUUUCCCGAAGAGUAAGAAAGAUGAAUCGAGCAACUUUGUUAAUGAGGGUGUGAUGAUACGUGAUUGUUUUCAUGGCUUGGGUUGUCGUCUUGUCGAUCAAAACAACAAAAACAACCUCAGCCAAGAAUAGAGAAUUGAUUGUGACAAAAAUCUGAAAAUCGACAAAAAAAAAUCACAGGCAGUUUGAUUACGAAGGUGACGAUUGUGAUUAUUUUCAUGGUUCACGUCUGGCCGAUCAAAACAAUGAAAUUACAACCUCAGACAAAGACACCAAAGAGAGGACCAAGCUUAGGGAGCAAGGUAAUGGCUGGCAGGCUGGUGGCAACAAUAUAUAAUUUUUAGGCAUCUAUGAACAUGUCAACAAAUGGCUUACGUCUACUGAACAACCUUAAAGCUACGACAACAAGGGCUCCAAAUGCAUGCGUGUGGCUUGUAUUAGCUCAGGCACGGCAGCAAGAGUGACCAAUAGCAGUGGAUUAUGAGGCGUGUGUAGCACCAACCCUACAGUGUAUUAACCGUGACUCCAAGAGCAAGAGAAGAUUAUAUGUAAUGUUCAACAAGCUUCAAUGGGUGACUGUUGUGGAGAUUUCUAUAGCCAUCCCAGAGCCAUGGGGUAGGAGAGCUUGGCCAAUGUGAUUACAGGCACCACAGUGGUUGCCUACAGACCCGUGCAAAACUCAAAUUGAUGCUGAUAUGAUCAGGGAUGGACUGAAUACAAGAAUGUGUAUUCGAAUAUAAAUAUGAAUACUUCAAAUUCAAAUGAAUAUGAAUACAAAUUUGAAUCCAAAGAAAUGCUUUUAAUUCAAAUACAAAUACGAAUACUUCUUGAAAGUAUGCAUGAAAACAUUGAUGAAUACUUUUCAUUAAUAAAUACCUUCUAUACGUAACUGGGUAUAAUACUGCUCUAAAGUUAUGCAACAUGGAAAUAGGCCAUGAACCUGUACUAUACACGCAGUUUCAUGUCCACCCAGGAGGCUGGAGUUGUAAGGAACAACGGCUGUUAUUUCUGAUAAAUUUUUACGUAUUAGUCAGAUUAUUCGCAGAAUAUGAAUACUUUUCCCUUGUAUCUGAGUAAGAAUGAGAAUACUUUGAUUUAUAUCAAUAAUUAUUUGAAUACGAAUACAAUUACACCCAAAUACGGUAUUCAAAUGCAUUUGAAUAUGAAUCCUGAAUAUGAAUACUCCAUCCCUGGGCAUGAUAUGCUGUGUUUUGUGUUCUUGGUACUUCUUUGAGACCCUCACCAUACCUAAAGCACACACACACAAAACAACACUAUCAUAUCACCAUCAUUUUCAAUUUCACUUGAAUCUUUUAGUACCAACAGCACACCUGUGAUACGGGUGGCCACACUUUCCUAUUCCCUGGCUCUGGUCGGCCCCGGCACCACCCGGCUACUGAAGGGGAACACAAAGACCGGUUAUAGUUGUACAGGUUCAAGGCACGUGACUGCAUUGUAACCUGGCUCAUUCACUGUGGCUUUGUAGCGAGUACUCGAGAGGAUCAGGUAUGCAUUAACUCCUAAAGAAACAUGAGAUAAUAAUAGAGAAGUCCAUAGGAAGUGCAUGCCACCUCCAAUACCACUCCUUGUUUCUAGGCAUAUAGUGUUGAGACUUUUCCCUCCUGCUAUAAAUAAGGCUGUUACAAGUGAGUGUUUGAACUCCAUAUGAAAGGAAGAAUCUGUGGUUAAAUGUGCAUAAGAUAUCAAGUUCAUCCAUUAGUCCAGUAGCUUAUAUAUACAGGGAAAUUAAUGCUUAAAGAGGAGAGGUCAAUCUACAACCAAUUAGUACUAGAAUAUUAAGAUAGCUUUCAACUUAACAUUGGAAAUAUAUCAUCAUAUAAAUAAAGCAUUAAAUGAUCCACUCUUCAAUCGUUAAGCAAGCUAUGAGUAAACACUGGCAACCUUUUUCAAGACACUUCACUCGACACUUUAUACGAAAGAGUCUGAAUCUUUCCUUAACCCGGUAGCAGUGAUGGGCCAAAUUUGUGGCUUGACCGUGUAGCAGCAAUGGGACAAAUUUGUGGCUUUACUGUGUAGCAGUGACGGGACAAAUUUGUGGCUUUACCAUGUAGCAGCGACGGGACAAAUUUGUGGCUUUACCAUGUAGCAGCAAUGGGACAAAUUUGUGGCUUUACCGUGUAGCAGCGACAGGACAAAUUUGUGGCUUUACUGUGUAGCAGCAACGGGCCAAAUUUGUGGCUUUACCGUGUAGCAGCGACAGGACAAAUUUGUGGCUUUACCGUGUAGCAGCGACAGGACAAAUUUGUGGCUUUACUGUGUAGCAGCAACGGGCCAAAUUUGUGGCUUUACCGUGUAGCAGCAAUGGGACAAAUUUGUGGCUUUACCGUGUAACAACGACAGGCCAAAUUUGUGGCUUUACCAUGUAGCAGCGACAGGCCAAAUUUUUGCCAUGAUAUAAACCCCCAAAAAUAGAUGAUACAUAAACUGAUCACAAAUGCGUUUAUAUAUAUUAUGAAAUGGUUUGCGUGAGUGAUGAUUUUUUCUCAUUUUUCUUGCAGCUACCGGGUCAGUAAGUUUUACAUCACAAAACUUACAAAUAGCCAUUACCAACAAAACAGUAGGGAAUGCAGCUGUGUGUCUUUUCAUCCGAGUCAAUUCUACAUAAAACAAUAAUUUCUCGAACCCAAAAAACCUGGCUCCUUCCAUAAUAAGUUUUUACACCACAAAACUUAUAUAUGAAUUGCCUUUGCCAACAUCACAGUACGGAAUCCAAGUGUGUGUGUUUACAAUCGUCAAUUCUAUAUUACAAUAACAUGUACAAUUUCUCGAACCAAAAAAAGUCAGAAUCCUUCCAUAGUAUAAAUUUCAAAUCACAAAACUUAAAAAUUCCCAUUAUCAACAAAACAGUAUGAAAUGCAGUGUGUUUUCUGCAAGUCAAUUCUAUAUAACAAUAACAGAUACAAUUUCUCACACCCAAAAAGUCGUAAUCGUUCCAUAGUAUAAGCUUCACAUCACAAAACUUAUGUACAGAUUCCCUUCACCAACAAAACUGUACAGAAUGCAGUGUGUAUGUUUUCAAUCCAGUCAGUUCUCUAUAAUAACAAUGAGAUACAAUUACUGGAACAAAAAAGUCGUAAUCAUUCCAUAGUAUAAGUUUCACAUCACAAAACUUACAAA